rnacentral:rRNA from 1 species
CGGUUAAAACGCUCGUAGUUGGAUAUUUGUUGAAGAAUGUCGGUCCACCCAAGCGGUGCGUACUCGAUAUGUCUUCGACAUCUUACUGGGGACAGUAAUUCCACUUUAUUGCGGGGUUACACGAUCCAGAACUUUUACUUUGAGGAAAUGAGAGUGUUUCAAGCAGGCCAAGCCAUGAAUACGUUAGCAUGGAAUAAUAGCAUAGGACCUUGUGUCGUAGCUGUUGGUUGACGGCAUAAGGUAAUAAAAACAGGGAUAGUUGGGGGCAUUCGUAUUGCAAUGUCAGAGGUGAAAUUCUUGGAUUUUUGCAAGACGGACUACUGCGAAAGCAUUUGCCAAGGAUGAUUUUAUUAAUCAAGAACGAAAGUUAGGGGAUCGAAGACGAUCAGAUACCGUCGCAGUCCUGACCAUAAACUAUGCCGACUAGAGAUUGGAGGAUGUCAUCCUUAGAUUCCUUCAGCAACUUGAGAGAAAUCAAAGUCUUGGGUUCCGGGGGGAGUAUGGUCGCAAGGCUGAAACUUAAAGGAAUUGACGGAAGGGCACCACCAGAGUGGAGCCGCGGCU